UACAGAGGGGGCGAGCGUUGUUCGGAAUGACUGGGCGUAAAGGGCGCGUAGGCGGCCAACUAAGUCAGACGUGAAAUCCCUCGGCUCAACCGGGGAACUGCGUCUGAUACUGGAUGGCUUGAAUUCGGGAGAGGGAUGCGGAAUUCCAGGUGUAGCGGUGAAAUGCGUAGAUAUCCGGAGGAACACCGGUGGCGAAGGCGGCUUCCUGGACCGACACUGACGCUGAGGCGCGAAAGCUAGGGGAGCAAACGGG
rnacentral:rRNA from 1 species